UACGUAGGGUGCGAGCGUUGUCCGGAAUUAUUGGGCGUAAAGAGCUUGUAGGCGGUCUGUCGCGUCUGCUGUGAAAAUCCGGGGCUCAACCCCGGACUUGCAGUGGGUACGGGCAGACUAGAGUGUGGUAGGGGAGACUGGAGUUCCUGGUGUAGCGGUGAAAUGCGCAGAUAUCAGGAGGAACACCGAUGGCGAAGGCAGGUCUCUGGGCAUUAACUGACGCUGAGGAGCGAAAGCAUGGGGAGCGAACAGG
rnacentral:rRNA from 1 species